rnacentral:other from 1 species
UAUACCCUGCAUUGUUGGUGAUUUUUAGUUAGAGUAUUUAUUCCGAUGAAGUUCUUUAGGAGAAAAUACAUGCGAGUUAUGCAAAUUAGCAUAAACCAUGUUUCUCACUUGUAAAAAAGGGCUUUAAAUACCUAACGGACACGGCAAUUGCGGGGGUUUU